UACAGACAGACCCACACACAGACCCACACUGCAGACAUGGCCAACGACACCCUGAGGAAAACACACACACACACACACACACACGCACACACGCAUACACGCACACACACAGAUACAAUCAGGAAGACCCAAAGGGGCAGCAAAUUCACAUGCGUAACUAGUAUACACACAUACAAAACCCAGAUAUACAUAGACACUCCCAUAUGGACACACAUGUCCCCGAAAACGUACAUAAUGGGCAGGGGCUUUUGAAAAAUGUGGUCACGCGGGGUUUCCAUUGUGAUCUAUCAGGGGCUCAGGCCUCUGAUUGGUGGAGAGAGGCUAUACAGCAUCCGGAUUGCUAUGGCAACGCUCAAACAGCUUGUCCAUAUUUUGGCUGGCCAUUUCCCUUUUGGCUCUCGUGUAUUUGGGAUUCUGUGGAAGCUUACCAUUAUUACUGCCACCCUUGCAAUUUGUGCAUGUCUGGUUUACCUCUGGAGAGUUGUCCUUGCUUUAGAGCCUCAAGUAUAUCAAGUUAAUUUACAGCAAAUAACUGAAAAGAUCAACACAGUGAAGAAAGAAAACAGAGAGCUGGCUGAAGCAAUAUCCAUUUGGGAACUGAAGAUCAAUGAAUCAAAGAUACGUCUUCAAGAAGCUGAGAGAAGUAACAUUCACUCCGCUGAAGCUCUUAAAUUGAAAUCACAAGAUGCAAACGGUCAAUUUGAGGAUCCAGAACUGAGAGCCGUGAUGUCCAAUAACUGUGAACUGGAAGAAAGUAAAAAGGCCCUGGAGGACAAGUGUAAUGCAUUGAGGACUGCGAAAGCAGCCAAGGAAGCCAAAGUCAGACAGUUGAAGGAGAAAGUAGUCAUCCUUGAAGAAUUCUAUGAAGAAAGAAAAGUGGCUAUAGAAAAGUAAGAUGUUCAUGAAGCUUAAAAUGACACAGUGUGAACUGGCAGCAAAGAAGAAUCAGCUGGCAGCUGCAGGGAAAAUUUGAACAAAGCUACAGAAGAAAACAAGUACAAGCAACAAAUUGAACAAACAAGAGAACAGCUGCAACAGGCAGAGCUCACCUUCAGACAUCAGAUCGCAGUUUAUGAGAAGAAUGCUCAGGACAGCUGGGUGUUUCCUUUUUUCCUCCUCUCUCUCUUUGGUGCACAGUCUGGCACAACUGAAGGUGGGUAUGUUUUUCUCCCCCAUAUCAAGAUUCAAGUCUGGGAGAGGGAGAUGACAGAGCAGAGCAGGGAGGUCACAUACUUGAAAUACAGGUAAGGUAGUUUGACUUGUGUUUUUAUGGAUGUUUCCAGGGAUGAUGCCUGUGCUGUUAUCUAGUAGAGUACGUGGUGUUGCAACUCUUAUAGAAGUCCAUUCUUUUUCUUUAUCCAAGACUGGAUGUGAUGGAAGGAAAGAGGCUGCCUGUGGGAUGCCCAAGGCAGAAACCAAUGCCUGGAAGACUGCUGUGCAGCCUGUUCCUGUAGGUGAUCAUCAUGUGGCCUGAAAAGAAUCACAAGCACUAAGUACAGAAGGUGGUCUGAAGGGGUGACAGAAGGGUGUUCUCCUCUGUGCCUCAGACAGCGGGGCACCUGUCCCUGUGAU